GAUGAACGCUGGCGGCGUGCCUAAUACAUGCAAGUCGAACGAAACUUCUUUAUCACCUGGUGCUUGCACUCACCGAUAGAGGGUUGAGUGGCGAACGGUUGGGUAACACGUGGGCAACCUGCGCUAAAGAGGGGGAUAACACUUGGAAACAGGUUCUAAUACCGCAUAACCAUAGUGACCGCAUGGUAACUAUUUAAAAGGUAGCAAUACUACCGCUUUUGGAUGGGCCAGCGGCGAGUGAGCUAGUUGGUCGAGUAAAGGCUUACGAAGGUAAUGAUGCGAAGCGGCAAUGAAAGGUAGAAUGGACAGAUUGGGACUGAGACACAGCACCAACUCUUACGGGAAGAAGCAGCAGGGACUCUUACAGGAUGCACGAAAGCGUGAUGGAGCACAACCGGGUAAGUGAAGAACGUCUUAGGAUGGUAAAACCCUGUAGUCAGAGAAGAAAGAGAGCGAGUGUACCUGUUAACGUUUCGACAGUACCUAAACAGAAAGCCACGGCUAACUCCGUG
rnacentral:rRNA from 1 species